AUUUCAAGAAAGAAAGAAGAAGAAAAGAAGAGGGUCUGCAGAAAAUAAAAGAAGGAAUAUGGAAGGAAAGAAGGAAAGAAAUCUCAGGAAAAAGAAGGAAGAAUUAGAGGGGAAUAAGAGAAAGAAGAAGAAAAAGAAACCUGAAUUUGGAACAUGGGUGCGACUCAGAUGAACCAGGAAGCAAGCAGUGGCUACCCUUUCAAAGCUCUGAUACCAAUUUGUCAUAGAAUUCCUGAGUUAGGGGUCUGCUUCAGAUAAUAAGAAGAAAGGAGAUGAGAGAAUAGAAUAAAUAGGAAUGAGAAGUAGAAAGAAAAGAGAGAAUUAUAGAGAGAGAGAAGUAAUUUUUGUAUUAUUGAAUUCUUGGCUGAUCCAUUUAGUUACAAUGCUGCCCUAUUUAUACAAUAUUUUCCUGAGCAAAUACGACGCACACCUUGUUGUGUCCUGAAUAAGAAAUUAGUGUUGCAGAGAGCAAUGGCAUCUAUUUUGGAUUUCAUUGAAUUCAUAAGGUUUUUGCAUAGGGUUAAAGAAGAAAUUAAUGAAUCUGGAGAAUACCAUUUUUUAGGAUGAUUCUAGAUAUGUUUUUGAAAUCCAAAAUCUUUACUUAUGCAAUUUGAACUAAACUCGUACAAAUCCUUUGAUUAUAAAUUUCCAUUUUUAACUAAAUGACAAGGUAUAUGGGAUGGGAAUUUCUGGUUCUCUAUUCAAUGAUUAAAAUACAUCUUUAUUAUUCAAUGUAACUAGGGCUGCCAUUGAAUGUGAGAAG
rnacentral:misc_RNA from 1 species